UGGGGAAUUUUCCGCAAUGGGCGCAAGCCUGACGGAGCAACGCCGCGUGAGGGAUGAAGGCCUCUGGGCUGUAAACCUCUUUUAUCAAGGAAGAAGAUCUGACGGUACUUGAGGAAUAAGCCACGGCUAAUUCCGUGCCAGCAGCCGCGGUAAUACGGGAGUGGCAAGCGUUAUCCGGAAUUAUUGGGCGUAAAGCGUCCGCAGGCGGUUUUACAAGUCUGUCGUUAAAGCGUGGAGCUCAACUCCAUUUCAGCGAUGGAAACUGUAAGACUCGAGUGUGGUAGGGGCAGAGGGAAUUCCCGGUGUAGCGGUGAAAUGCGUAGAUAUCGGGAAGAACACCAGUGGCGAAGGCGCUCUGCUGGGCCAUAACUGACGCUCAUGGACGAAAGCCAGGGGAGCGAAAGGGAUUAGAUACCCCUGUAGUC
rnacentral:rRNA from 1 species